CACUGACAAAGGCUAGUAGAAUAGCAACACCAAAAGUGUGAUACACGCUAUACAAUACUCGGCCCUGAGUGGGUGAAAGUCCAAGGCUUAAGUAGGCUGAGUUGAUUGGCUGCAGCUCUGUUAUCAGGUGAGAGUGUGAUUAGGAAAGUGGCUGAUGGGAAAUGUAGUUUGGGGUGAGGUGUAAUAGUCUGUGUGUUGUGAGAGUUCGUAGUGGUGUAGUUGGAGAGACCAAGGUCAGAGGCUGAGCCGGCAGAGCAGGACACCCAGGCAGACCCGGCGUGGCAAGGAACCAUGGUGGAGCAGGCGGAACUGGAGCCCACCGGAGCGGAGCAGAGGACCCCCACAGCCGAGCAGACGGGACCGAAGCCCACCAGGGCGGAGCAGAGGACCACCACAGCCGAGCAGAUGGGACCGAAGCCCACCAGGGCGGAGCAGAGGAACACCACAGCAGACCAGACUGACCAGGAGACCAUGGUAAAUACCCAGACCUAGAAAAAGCAUAAAUAGACAACACAGACAGCACAUUCACAGCCCCAAGGGACGAGAAAGAGUACACAUCAACAGUUCCCCUGAUGACAGCUGAACGGGUAAACGGUUCAUAAUCAGGUCUACUAAGGGGGACUGAGCUAACAGGUAGUUCAUAAACUAAUUCGUGGGUAAUUAUGGGGUGUACGGACAGUUCAAAAUCAGGCUCAUUGGUAGAAACGGGACAGACAUAGAGUGCAUUUACAGUCUCUGAGUUAAUGAUAGAUGGGGUUGCGAUUCCAAAGUCAAGUCUUUGGGCUGUGAGCCGGUCAUUAAAGCCUACCGGGAGUUCAGUCAAGGUUUCUGGGGUUGUGAUCGGACUGAGGGGGCAGACAACAGUUUCAUAGUUGGGUCCAUUGACAAUAACCAGACAAACAGAUUGUCCAACAUCAACUGCAUGGCUAGGAGUAGAACUGGUAGAUAAUUCAAAAUCAGGGGUAUUGACAGAAGUUGAAGCAGACAGUUCAACAGUGGAUUCAAAAAUUACAUUUCUACUGACAGAUAAAUCAUCACCAAGUACAUCAACGGAAAACUGACUGGCAGACAUUUCAGUGAGGGGAACUAAACUGGUAGGCAAUUCAUAGUCAGACUUAUCCAUUGAAACAGACAGUUCAUUUAAGGCAUUCAUGACAGUGAUGGGUAGAAGUGAAAUUUCUUGAACAGCCCCUGUGGCCCUAGCAAAACAACCUGGGAGUUCAGAGACAGUGUUUUCAGGUUUAAUGGACAAGGCUGAGAGUGUAGAAUCUGCUUCUUUGGCUGGGUCAAGCCAAGGCAGUAGUUCACAAACAGCCUUAAUGGCUAUGGCAGAGCAAGUCAAGGAUCCACAAACGGCAUCCAUAGCGGUGACAGGGCAGGAUGAGAGUUCACCGACGGCCUCCAUGGCCAUGACAGGAGAGGGCGAGAGCUGAAGAGUGGAUAUCACUGACACCUCCAGAGGUUCUGCAGCAGAUGCCACCACCUCGGGAGGUUCUACAGUGAUGCCAUAACGAGACUGGGAGAGUUCAUCUGUGGUUAAUUCGACAGUGACAUGAUGAGCUGGAGGUGCAUUGCUGGAUGCCACCGCCAUCCAAGGAACUGAAGUGAGAACCGCCGCUUCAAGAGGCUCUGUGGCAUAUGCCGCCACCUCCGGAGAAACCGCAGCAGGCACCAUUGCUUCAGGAGAUACAGCAGUGUGCGCCUCUACCUUAGGAGGUUCUGCAGCCUCAACCACCACCUCUGAAGCUUUCAUAGUGGACGACGCCCUAUCUGGGGGUUCUGAGAUGGCAUAUACAGCCCAGACACACCACAAAGAGAUUCCCAUCAGGGGAAGCACUCUAGUCAGGGGAAUCAGUUCGGGAACAGAAGAGCAAGAGUGAGUGAUUUUGGGGAUACCCGCUGCAUGUGCAGACAUCAUCGGUGUAUCCCUCACACUUGACACCAGACUAGGAUAUCGAAGCACUGACCUUGAAUAUCCAGGUGUGACAGACAGGACGUUACAAGACUCUGGAUGAUGCACUGAGACAUGAAGGGAUUCUGGACGAUUACCUGCGAUGACAUGAGACUCUGGACGAUUGGCUGAAAUGUUACGAGGCUCUGGAAGUUCAGCUGAGAUGCGACUUGAUUCAUGAUCACUUGUGACUUGAUGUGACUCCUGAAGAUCAGCGGUGGCUGGACUUGACUCUGGAAAGUCAGCUGGGGCUGCCAUUUCGUGCAGUGGCUCUGGGCUGGCGGCCAUCUUGUGCAGUGGCUCUGGGCUGGCGGCCAUCUUUACCGCUAUGUCGCUUUCCUCCUCCAUGAGGCCCACAGUAAAAGCUGAGCCAACCGAAAAUAAAGCAAAGUCCAAAAAAUCACUUAAAGUCAAACGGGGACCCUCCUGAAUCAGUCGUGAUUUG
ensembl:lncRNA